rnacentral:rRNA from 1 species
GAUGAACGCUGGCGGCGUGCCUAAUACAUGCAAGUCGAGCGAACGGACGAGAAGCUUGCUUCUCUGAUGUUAGCGGCAGACGGGUGAGUAACACGUGGAUAACCCACCUAUAAGACUGGGAUAACUUCGGGAAACCGGAGCUAAUACCGGAUAAUAUUUUGAACCGCAUGGUUCAAAAGUGAAUGACGGUCUUGCUGUCACUUAUAGAUGGAUCCGCGCUUCAUUAGCUAGUUGGUAAGGUAACGGCUUACCAAGGCAACGAUGCAUAGCCGACCUGAGAGGGUGAUCGGCCACCCUGGAGCUGAGACACGGUCCAGACUCCUACGGGAGGACGCAGGAGGGUAUCUGGUGCAAUGGGCGACAGCCUGACGGAGCAACGCCGCGUGAGUAGUGAGAGCCUUCGGAUCGUAAAACUCUGUUAUUAGGGAAAAACAUAUUUGUAAGCCACUGUGCACAGAUUGACGGUACCGAAUCAGAAAGCCACGGCUAACUACGUG